CGCUCAUCCAGAGGAGCUGAGGGACCGGCCCUACGACGCUCCGGCAACCAUCCGUUCUGCCACCUCAUCGUGGCACGGCGCGGUGCCAACUCCGGCCCACCCGGCAGCCGCCGAGCCGUGGGAAAGAUGAGGA
rnacentral:ncRNA from 23 species